rnacentral:rRNA from 1 species
GUGGGGAAUCUUGCGCAAUGGGCGAAAGCCUGACGCAGCGACGCCGCGUGAGUGAUGAAGGCCCUAGGGUUGUAAAGCUCUGUGGAGAGGGACGAAUAAGCACCGGCGAAUAACCGGUGUGAUGACGGUACCUCUUUAGCAAGCACCGGCUAACUCUGUGCCAGCAGCCGCGGUAAGACAGAGGGUGCGAACGUUGUUCGGAAUUACUGGGCGUAAAGCGCGUGUAGGCUGUCGCGAAAGUCGGGUGUGAAAGCCCUGGGCUCAACCUGGGAAGUGCACUCGAAACUUCGCGACUCGAGUAUCGGAGAGGGAGGCGGAAUUCUCGGUGUAGAGGUGAAAUUCGUAGAUAUCGAGAGGAACACCAGUGGCGAAGGCGGCCUCCUGGACGAUAACUGACGCUGAGACGCGAAAGCGUGGGGAGCAAACAGGAUUAGAAACCCUGGUAGUCC